UACAGAGGGUGCGAGCGUUGUCCGGAAUCACUGGGCGUAAAGGGCGCGUAGGUGGCGCGACAAGUCAGUGGUGAAAGUUCGACGCUCAACGUCGAAUCGGCCACUGAUACUGUUGGGCUUGAGCACUGUAGAGGCUAAUGGAAUUCCGGGUGUAGCGGUGGAAUGCGUAGAGAUGUGGAGGAACACCAGUGGCGAAGGCGACUUUCUGGCUUAUAACUGACGCUGAGGCGCGAAAGCGUGGGGAGCAAACAGG
rnacentral:rRNA from 1 species